rnacentral:rRNA from 1 species
CGCAAGCCUGACGGAGCAAGNCCGCGUGCGGGAUGACGGCCUAAUGGUUGUAAACCGCUUUUCUCUGGGAAGAUAAUGACGGUACCAGAGGAAUCAGCCUCGGCUAACUCCGUGCCAGCAGCCGCGGUAAUACGGAGGAGGCAAGCGUUAUCCGGAAUUAUUGGGCGUAAAGCGUCCGUAGGUGGUUAUUCAAGUCUGCUGUCAAAGCGUGGGGCUUAACUCCAUAGAGGCAGUGGAAACUGGAUGACUAGAGUGCGGUAGGGGUCGAGGGAAUUCCCAGUGUAGCGGUAAAUGCGUAGAUAUUGGGAAGAACACCAGUGGCAAAGCGCUCCGUAUUACCGCGGCUG